GUGUGAAAAAUUACCCUGCUGAAACUACACUAAUCGCAGCAUGCAGUAUAUAUACUUGCAAGCACAGUAUGCAAAGUCUGACCCUGCCAGACUCAGCCAAGCCUGUUAUGGGAGGAGGAGUGACUCUCGGAGCCAUGCCAGACCUGACCGUGCCUUGCUAUGGGGUGAAAUCACUGGAGAGACAAUCAACUUGGGGCCCUAGCAUGGCCAGAAGAGGAGUCUGGACCAUUGCCAGCAGUGAAAACAAGAGGUCCAGGGAUGCAUGUGAGUCUCUAGUAACGAGACCUGAGUGGGAUAUAAGGAAUUCCGUGUGGGUCGGAGAAGGGAGGCAAGUGGAUGAGCUGUGCAAGAGGGCAGCACACCUUGGGACAUGCAGUGUGAGCGGCAUUGCUGGAGACCUUGGCAAUCUCACCUCUGAGGGAACUCUGUAGCAGCAGGGGACCGAAGCUGAGGAUAGGGGCAAUGCUGCUUUCUAAAGGACUUGGCCAGCUGCGGAAAAUCCACCAAACCUGCUGUCUGACCCCAUUCAGAUCACACGCUGGAGCGGACACGGGACUGAUAUGACCGUACAUCUCCCCGAGAGCGCGCUGGUUACCAUGCCCUCCGAGCAGUGCCUGGGGCCUUCGCUUCAUUGCAUUAGCGAUCCAGGAAUACCAGGAAUACAAGCACUGGCACAGACUCACUCCCACAUGGAAGCAGUUAACUUGGCAGUCUCAGCGGAGGAAAGCCAGGCAUUGUAAUAGAUCUAGCUGCAGCAUCAGAGCCCUGACUGCACCGAAGCCUCUGCAACACCCCCACCCCAGGGGCUUGGCUGCCUGGGUUCAAGGCGAGCUCUAAUAUGACACAGCUGUGUAACCUUGGAUCAGCUUGCUGGGAAAAAUAGAUAAGCUGCGAGGAAGAGCUCCUGCCCUUUGCUUGAGGAGCUGCAGUGAGGUUUGAGUGCUUGCCCUUGGUUUGUGCCUGAGCUCUGCUGCAGGUAUACCUGUGACUGGACAUGUAUCUUGCUGAUCUUCCUUCUCUGACUUCUUGGACUGAGCAUGGACUUGUCUGGUGAUCCCUGGGCCGCAGCUGACCCUGGAAACCUGUUCCAGGUUUGCUCUGAUCUUCUCAUUUGGAAUUGCACUCCCUGUCUGUAAGGAUGCUGUCCUGGUGGCCCCCUCUUAUCUGUGGGCAGAAGGUUGGGUAUAUCUUUCCCUGUGGGUGGGUGUGGGGGUUGCUGACCUGUGAGCAGUGCCCUGCCUGCAUGGGAGGAGGUGGGGGAAGAGAGGCCAUGGGCUUAUCUCCUGCGUUAGGUUUUCCUGGUUGAGCUUUGCAUGAGUGUCCCUUAGCAACCAAAUUGGUUCCUAAGUGUGUGUAUAUUCUGAUUUCCUGCACUAAAACUCUCUAGAAGAGGUCUGUUUCUGGGAGAGUGUCCGUUACAGCCAGGUGACUGAGCUGGGCUCUUGUGUUCUAACUGGAGGUGUGUUUAGUGGGACAAGGUCUCCAGGAUGUGCCUCUGAGAGAGGGGGGAGCCAGCCCCCACGAGGAGCCCUGUAAAAUGCCCUGGUGCACGUGGGCUGAGGUGUGCAGGACUGACCCCAACCCAGGGGACCUGAGGCCCUAAAGCAUGCAGGUAACCUCACAAUGCAGUGGCUGAGUUGUGUCCAAGGAACAUUUGUGCUUGGAACAUCUUGCUCUGGCAGGUUGCUGCGGUGUGUAUGUGUGCCUCGUGCCAACAGCCUUACAAUAACGUUUCUGUACAUGAUGGCCUCUGAGGAUUGCUCCUCUAUAGGUAACGCUCAGUCAUCAAUCAAUGAUGUCCCUUUAAAAACCCCUGUGGUUUUGCUGCCCUGGAUAAUAGCCUGUUUCCCUAAACCGUGUGAAUCCCCUGUGUCACAGGGGAAUCUUUGACCUUUCUACACUGUGUCACUUUGUAAAAAAACAAACAAAAAUCUCAAAUAGCUGGGCAGAUGGGGUUCCUUUGAACCCUGUGAUUUGAAAAGUACAGAACUCCCCAGCCCAAAAGUGUUUUAGAAAAACUAAAUGGAUUUAGGCUUAUCAUUUCAACCUCUGAGAAUGUAUUCAGCACAGAAAUGAACAAUUGUCGUGAUUCCUUGCAAGGCAAUCCCAGGGCUGCUGUAACAUUGUCACCUCUGUGAUGCUGCGUGACAUUAACAUCUUGCCAACAGUGCAAACCGCACUGACACUGUGGCUUUUGUUAUAGUCAAGGGGAAACAAGCCACAGCAAUCUCACCAGUUGACUCCUGGCACCUUGCGCUUUCAGAGCAAUGCUGAGGUCAGGUUAGUGUUAAAGUUUUCUGAAACCCUGGGAGAGAUUUUCACCAGCUUGAGGGAGGAAAAGGCUUUGGAUUAAGCUCAUCUAGUGCACCUGUGGGGAAGCACAAAUGCCUCUAGGCACUGCAUUUCUUACUUGUUUAUCUGAGCCUUGCAUUUACUCACCCCUGUUUGCUUAGGUAAAUGUAGCUGUGCCCAGAGGAAGCAUUCUUUGGAAACCUUGUGAGGUGCUGACAACUAAUUAUUUGUCCUUCAUCAAUAGAUAUUCUUAGACUGAUUCCAGAAUUAUCCAAUUCACUAAUUAAUGUGCUGUGCUUUGCUGGGCAUACAGCAGAGAGCACUUGGGUGCUUGGAGAACUGCUUUUGGCCUCUCUUUCACCACUUUCCUCUAAGGGACUCGCCAGCUUGGUGCUUUGUGCUUUGCUGAAGUUGUCCCAGAGCGCUCAGCCCUUCCAAGGUGGUGAUUUUUAACGGUUUCCACCAAGAGAAGUAGCUCUCCUUUCUCCUGGUUGUAUUUUUUUUUUUUUUUUUUGCUGCCUCUUCUGCCUUCUCCUGGUGGUGGCUGCUGUUUGGGUACCUGAUGUGGUCUGGCUGGUGAAAAUCUUUGGAGCAGGGCCCCUUAAAUAGCUGCUGCUGCUGAGGAGCAACGUACCCAUCAGGACCUGAAAGAUGUGCCUGGCGCAAGCAGCAGAGAGAUACAUCAGUGUAAAUCUGAACAGCUUCAGGAGGUGCUGUCACCAGGGGCUGUUUGAAAUAAAAUACUUGUCUAUAGACAGGGAUUUCUUCUGUUUGUUUCAAUUUUAGGGGUUGAGGAAAUACAAAGAGCCUUCAGUCUCCUCACCAGUACAGUUCAGCUUAUCCAGGCCAGGAGACUGUUGCAUUUUAUACUCAGUGUUUUUCUGAAUCAAAUUGUACACUUACCAGAAAAUGGACCUUGCUGUUCGAUGUAUGUUAAAGUGCCAUGUACAUUCAUUGUGCUGUAUAAAUAAAGUAUAAUAAUGCUGAGA